rnacentral:lncRNA from 1 species
UUUUUGUAAUUACAUUUUUUCUGCUGUUCUGGAAACUUAUGUUAGUUUAAAAAUAUGUGACGUUUUGUUCAAAGAAUUAUAACCUUCAUUUCAGGUUUAGUGUUCCUGUUUUUCUUCAUAUAAUUGUACUUUAAGAGUGUCAGCAUUAUUGAAGAAAUUCAUUUAGAGGAUAGUAAAUGAUAAGAGCCAUCUAAUCAAUAGAGUUCAAGAAAUUCUAAAGAUCUGCAAAUCUUUCAAAAAUAUUAUAGAAAUAUUGUUAAAUUUAUGUGAAUUAAGGUCUGUACUCUUUAAAACAGAUGUGUUAUAUUUUAUGUUGCUAUCUGACAUACCGACUAUAGUAUAUAGUUUGGGUUUUGUUCAUUGUUGAAGAUAGAUCCGGAACCUUUAGUUGUUUAUAUCGACUUCGUUUGAACAGUUUUCUAAUUGGCAAUCAUAUAAAUAGUUACACAUAUUUUUUUCUAUCGCAAAAUUAGAUUUAAGAUACCUAAACAUAUACUUUUUCAACAUAAAAAUCUUUGUAUUAUUGUGAAUCUAUUCAAUAGAUUUAUAUAAUGUAAUACGUUUUGAUUUUUUAUAUUUAAUUUAGGUGUUAUUAUAUUUUUACCUUUGGUUGGACAUUGUUGGUUUUUUUUCAAAUCAUAUUUAAAAAUGUUCCCAAAAACAAUUGUCAGAAUGACAUAGUUUUGCCCCCUUUGUGUGUAGAAAUAUCAUUAGUGAUGUCACUGAGGUUUUAAAGAUAUGUAAAACAAACAUAGUUGACAUAAAAUUGGCAUUUUACAUAUUUGUUCUAAUGAAAGUUUCAUUAUUAUGUUAAACUCACAUUAACCUUUUUGUUUAGAUAAUUUUUAACACCAUGUUUUAGGUAUAUAUAUAUAUAUAUGUUUAAUACAUGUAUUUUCAAAUAUUAUUAAGAAGAUGUCAAACUGAGGAUACAAGUAUUUUAUGAGUGUUAUUAGUUUUGACUUAAAGGCAACAGGUUUUAUGGCCUAAAACAAAUACAUGUAAGAACAAUAUCCAAUAGCAUGCCUACUGAGUAAAAGAAAUGUUUUUGACCAUGUUAAAAAUGACACUUGAGAGUAAAAUCAUUGAAUGCUCUUUUCUUUGGAAAAUUUCUGUACCAAGUCAGGAAUAUGACAUUUGUUAUCCAUUGGUUGAUAAAGUCUUUAAAACAUUUGAUUAUGCUAGGUUUUAUGGAUUUCCUCAUUUACGAAUUUUCCUUAAAUUUCGGUAUUUUUGAUAAUACUUUUCAGUUCUUUGAUUUUACUUUAUUGAAAACCUAAAGCUAGAUACCUAUAACAAAUUGUACACCAUAAUGUAUAUGUCUUAUUGAAAACCUAAAGCUAGAUACUUAUAACAAACUGUACACCAUAAUGUAUAUGUAUUAUUUUCAAAUAUGUCUUUUCAAUCUAUUGUUUGCCUAUUCCUAAGUAGAAUGUGAAAAUCUAGGCAUUUAUUGUAACUUUUAGUGUAACAAAGGUUAUGGAAUAAGUUUUAUGAAGUGACUGUCCAAGCAUGGAAAUGGCUUGAUGCUAUAAUAACAAAAACACUUUGUUAUGGUAUUUGAAAAUUGUUAUUGUUAUAUAUUAACAUGAGAUAAAUAAAUUAUGAAGA